CGGCACCUCAAGUGGUCAGGAUGAUUAUUGGGCCUAAAGCAUCCGUAGCCGGCGCUGUAAGUUUUCGGUUAAAUCUGUACGCUCAACGUACAGGCUGCCGGGAAUACUGCAGCGCUAGGGAGUGGGAGAGGUAGACGGUACUCGGUAGGAAGGGGUAAAAUCCUUUGAUCUAUUGAUGACCACCUGUGGCGAAGGCGGUCUACUAGAACACGUCCGACGGUGAGGGAUGAAAGCUGGGGGAGCAAAACGGAUUAGAUACCCGAGUAGUC
rnacentral:rRNA from 1 species